rnacentral:misc_RNA from 1 species
GAUGAAGAACGCAGCGAAAUGCGAUACUUGGUGUGAAUUGCAGAAUCCCGUGAACCAUCGAGUUUUUGAACGCAAGUUGCGCCCAAAGCCUUUUGGCCGAGGGCACGUCUGCCUGGGCGUCACGCAUCGCGUCGCCCCCCACAAUUCUUCGUAAAGGGAACAUGUGUUUUGGGGGCGGAUAUUGGUCUCCCGUGCUCAUGGCGUGGUUGGCCGAAAUAGGAGUCCUUUCGAUGGACGCACGAACUAGUGGUGGUCGUAAAAACCCUCGUCUUUUGUUUCGUGCUGUUGCUCGCAAGGUAAACUCUUUAAAAACCCCAAUGUGUCGUCUCUUGACGACGCUUCGACCGCGACCCCAGGUCAGGCGGGACUACCCGCUGAGUUUAAGCAUAUCAAUAAGCGGAGGA